UACGAAGGGGGCUAGCGUUGCUCGGAAUUACUGGGCGUAAAGCGCACGUAGGCGGAUCAUUAAGUCGGGGGUGAAAUCCUGGAGCUCAACUCCAGAACUGCCUUCGAUACUGGCGAUCUUGAGUCCGGGAGAGGUGAGUGGAACUGCGAGUGUAGAGGUGAAAUUCGUAGAUAUUCGCAAGAACACCAGUGGCGAAGGCGGCUCACUGGCCCGGUACUGACGCUGAGGUGCGAAAGCGUGGGGAGCAAACAGG
rnacentral:rRNA from 1 species